CCAAUAGCGUAUAUUAGUGUUGUUGUGGUUAAAAAGCUCGUAGUUGAAUUUCGGGAUUGGGAUAUAUCGGUCGUGCCUUUAGGGGCAUGAAUCAGUGUGUGGCCAAUUCUCACCUUCUGGUGAAUUGGGAUGCUCUCGGGUGUUUCAAUGAACUAGGACUUUUACUUUGAAAAAAUUAGAGUGUUUAAAGCGGGCAUUUUUGCUUGAAUACGUUAGCAUGGAAUAAUAAAAUAGGACGAUGGUUCUAUUUUGUUGGUUUUAGGACCACGUAAUGAUUAAUAGGGAUAGUUGGGGGCAUUAGUAUUCAAUUGUCAGAGGUGAAAUUCUUGGAUUUAUUGAGGACUAACUACUGUGAAAGCAUUUGCCAAGGAUGUUUUCAUUAAUCAAGAACGAAAGUUAGGGGAUCAAAGACGAUUUAUGUACGUCGUAGUCCUAACCAUAAACUAUGCCGACUAGGAAUCAGACAAAGUUAAUUUUUUAACGACUUGUUUGGUACCUUACG
rnacentral:rRNA from 1 species